UCUAGAACCGAUAUUCCCCGUUAAACCUCACCACUUCUUGUCAAUCCCGCCUAUAUACCGCCGUCACCAGCUUACCCUGUGAAGGAAAAACAGUAAGCAAAGAGGGGACACCCCAA
rnacentral:rRNA from 1 species